UGGGCCCUUUCUGUUGACAACUGCUGACUGC
rnacentral:piRNA from 1 species